rnacentral:rRNA from 1 species
AGAGUUUGAUCCUGGCUCAGAACGAACGCUGGCGGCGUGCUUAACACAUGCAAGUCGAACGGGACCUUCGGGUCUAGUGGCGGACGGGUGAGUAAUACAUAGGAAAUCUGCCUUUAAGUGGGGGACAACCAGGCGAAAGUUUGGCUAAUACCGCGUAAUGUCGUUGGUUGAGAUACUGACGAAGAAAGAUUUAUCGCUUUUAGAGGAGCCUAUGGUUGAUUAGCUAGUUGGUGAGGUAAAGGCCCACCAAGGCGACGAUCAAUAGCUGGUCUGAGAGGACGAUCAGCCACACUGGGACUGAGACACGGCCCAGACUUCUACGGAAGGCAGCAGUGGGGAAUUUUCCGCAAUGGGCGCAAGCCUGACGGAGCGACGCCGCGUAUGGGAUGAAGUAUUUAGGUAUGUAAACCAUUGUCAGUGGGGACGAAACAAAUGACGGUACCCACAGAGGAAGCAUCGGCUAACUACGUGCCAGCAGCCGCGGUAAUACGUAGGAUGCAAGCGUUGUUCGGAAUUACUGGGCGUAAAGAGUACGUAGGCGGUAUGGUAAGUCUGAUAUUAAAGACUGAGGCUUAACCUCAGGACUGUAUCGGAAACUGCCAAACUAGAGGACAAUAGAGGAAGUCGGAAUUCUCAGUGUAGCGGUGAAAUGCGUAGAUAUUGGGAAGAACACCAGUGGCGAAAGCGGACUUCUGGGUUGUUACUGACGCUGAGGUACGAAAGCGUGGGGAGCAAACGGGAUUAGAUACCCCGGUAGUCCACGCUGUAAACGAUGGAUACUAGGUGUAGCCGGUCUCGACCCCGGCUGUGCCGCAGCUAACGCAUUAAGUAUCCCGCCUGGGGAGUAUGGCCGCAAGGUUGAAACUCAAAGGAAUUGACGGGGGCCCGCACAAGCGGUGGAGGAUGUGGUUUAAUUCGACGCAACGCGAAGAACCUUACCAAGGCUUGACAUCUACAGAAUCUGUUAGAAAUAGCGGAGUGCCUGAAAGGGAACUGUAAGACAGGUGGUGCAUGGCUGUCGUCAGCUCGUGUCGUGAGAUGUUGGGUUAAGUCCCGCAACGAGCGCAACCCUCGAUGCUAGUUACCAUCAUUAAGUUGGGGACUCUAGCGUGACUGCCGGUGAUAAGCCGGAGGAAGGUGAGGACGACGUCAAGUCAUCAUGCCCCUUACGUCUUGGGCUACACACGUCCUACAAUGGCAUAGACAAAGGGCUGCAAGCUAGCAAUGGUGAGCGAAUCCCAUAAACUAUGUCUCAGUUCGGAUUGCAGGCUGCAACUCGCCUGCAUGAAGUUGGAAUCGCUAGUAACCGUAGAUCAGCACGCUACGGUGAAUACGUUCCCGGGCCUUGUACACACCGCCCGUCACACCACGAAAGUUUGUCAUACCCGAAACCGGUGAGCUAACCUUUUAGGAGGCAGCCGUCUAAGGUAGGGCCGAUGAUUGGGGUGAAGUCGUAACAAGGUA